GGCCUCCCAAUUCUUACCACAGGCUGUGUUCUUUACACUGACUGUAUAGAAAGAGGGGGUACAGUAAAUGCACCCCAUAUACACCUCAAUCUUUGCCUUGUCUGUAUUGUGAAUUGGGGGACAAAA